rnacentral:tRNA from 1 species
GGGGAUAUAGCUCAGUUGGUAGAGCUCCGCUCUUGCAAGGUUUACCCUGUGGCGGAUGUCAGCGGUUCGAGUCCGCUUAUCUCCA